rnacentral:tRNA from 1 species
GUCAGGAUGGCCGAGUGGUCUAAGGCGCCAGACUCAAGCUUGUACUUCCCGGGUCUGGGGUUUCUGGUCUCCGCAUGGGGGCGUGGGUUCGAAUCCCACUCCUGACA